AUGAUAACAACCUCGGAUUGCCCGAUAUGUGCCACGGACUGUGAGAGUAUUCGUCAUUCUUUCUUCAGAUGUAACAGAGUGCAAGAGAUUUGGGCAAAGCUGGGCUUGCUCUCCACCAUAAAUGAGCUGUCCGAGACUGAGUUGGAGGGAUCUUCGGUCCUCGGUGACCUGUUGCUAAUGCCAAACGCCGUUGUCCCGUCGCUCCCGGGCGUGCCCAUAAAGGAGCUGGUGGCGGUGGCUGUUUGGUAUAUAUGGUGGGAACGGCAGAGAUUCACCCAUGGGGAGCCCAUUCAGGAACCUGGAAGAUCGGCCCAAGCCAUUGUUACAUUGACCAAAAACUUCAUGAGGGCAAGGAACCAUGGUGCGGGCAGGAUACAGAGACAUGGAUGGACAAGACCAACAGAGGGAUUUGUUAGCCUCAAUAUCGACGCCUCUUUUGAUGUUGAUAGUGGCACCGGCGGGACCGGGGCCAUCAUACGUGACUCCACUGGUUCCUUCAUUGCGGCAUCCACGAGCAACAUUCCUUUUGUCCAGGACGCAGCGACGGCCGAGGCUAGAGGCCUUAAGGACGGGCUGGCUCUGGCAAACAUCGUCGGCUGUAACAAGGUGGAGAUCAGGGCGGACUGCAUGGAGGUCAUCCAGAUAAUGCAAGAUGGCGGAAACUCCUUAGGACCAGCUGCAGCCAUCUAUGAGGAGUGUGCUUUCUUAUGUCGUAAUUUUAUCUGUGUUAGUUUCUUUCAUUGCCCUAGGGAAGCCAAUAUGGCGGCUGAUCUAUUGGCUACAAAGUCGGAGCCCUCGCGAACUAUUGUGUGGCAGAACGAGGCUCCGGACUUUCUGCUCGAUGUAAUCACAAACGAUGUAGCCCUAUUUUCACAUGAAAUAUAA
rnacentral:rRNA from 1 species